CGCCUCAUACUACAUAAUCUUCAUCCUUGCGUGAUGUCAAUUCAUUUCCUUCAAUAGAUCAUCUUGGCAAUAGCUCAUCAAAGAAGGCUCAGAAGGACCAUCGGUUGUUAAUAUCAAACAGCGGGAGCUAAAGAGUGCAUCUUUUGACAAAAAAUUGUUCACCGUUUUGGAUCAGCAUGCCAAAACCAUAUCAAUUAAUGACAUAGUCUCGGAUGGUCCAUUGAAGGAUAGACAAGGAGCAGUAAAAGAAAUCUACAAAGGGAUACUGUUUUUGUGUGAUGAAAGUGAACCGGAGAGUAAUGGCUAUAUCUGUGUUAAAGCACAGUUGUGUGAGAAAGUAAACAUUUCUGGAGAUGCAUCUAAGGAGAAGGGUAGUGAACCAGCUGUUCUUUCAGGAUUUGAAGAUUUCCCAUCAUCCCCAAAUUGCCCCUUGUCUCCUAACAAUUCUUUGCAAGAGAGAGAGAACAAAAACAACUGUAUGUUUUUGAGUUCCUAUUGUAUCUAAUCACUAGAUGCAUUAUUAAAGUUCUAAUUUCAUUUACCUGUUUAACAUGUUAUGGUAAAUGCAACUAAUUGUGAAGAAAAUGGAAUGUUUUCUGUUGGUCUAUUAAGAAUCCGACUGGGCCCUUUAAAGGGGUACCAUUGUCGUGUGUUAGCUGUUCGCCGUUCUGAGGUCACAGUAAAGCUGGAUUCUCAGCACAAGAUUCUUACUGGUUCGAUGGAUCAACCUUAUCCUCUUCUGGUGUUGCAUGACUCGGAUUUAAAUAUUCUUUUGUGUUCUUGUAGUGAAAUAUGAGCAUCUUUCUGAGGUUCGUGGAAGAAAUUCUGCCAUUUCUCAGGGGGACGAUUCUGAGUCUUUUAAGCCAUUCAAUUUUCUUAGAUCGCAAGAUUGUUCCACAGAUUGGAUGGAUGGGACAGCAUUUUCAACAGAUGGUGAAAAGUGGAAUGCAGGAGGAUUAUCUACAGAAAGGUUUUACUUGUAUCUGAUGCCUGUUUGUAAUUUAUUUUUAAGCUUAUAAUCUCUAUGCACUUAUAGUUUUUAUUUUUGGUGGCAAGGAUGUGUGCUCACCGUGUAAUAUGUAUACAUCUUAGUAAUUUUUCUGACAAGUAUUUAAAUACUAAGUUAAAAUUUUCAUUUUGGAUAUUUACGUUUCUCAACUUUGUUUAGAAAUUGUAACUUGUGUUUCAUGAUUAUGACUACUUUUUCAGUCUGAAAAGCGAAUACUAACCAAAUUUAUGGUGAUUUGAUGAUCAGAAAUGAACAUUCACUUGAUAUGACGUUUGUCAUGUUUAAUCAUGAAUAUGCACCAUAUAUCAAAUUAUUACUGUAAAGGAUAUCCGUGUUUUCAUUCACUUCGUUCUGGACAGGAAAUGAGUGAACAACAUACAAGGAAAUUAUAGAAAGUGGUCUAUUACUUAUCUUUUUAAUUAAUUGUUGAGGAAAGUCUUGUUGAGUUUACUAAUCGAGAAGAAAUAUAAAACAUCUGUAAUAAAAAUAUGAUGCUGCUUUUGGAAUGCAGCCAAGUGAAUACUGCUUCCCAUGUAUUCCAUUCUUAUGUUGCCAUGGUUAUAUUGUGGUGCAUUUAUUUGUUUAUCCAUGGAAUGCUGUACUGAUGCUUGCAUUUUAAAUUAUUGCUCUCUUGCUGAUGUAUGAUGUAUACGUCUAUUCAUCUACUGUCUUCUGUAGUUUUCUAUAUUGAACCAAAAAUGCCAGCAUUUCUUUGCUGGUCUGCUUUCCCAUCAAGCUUACCGGUUAGCCACAAUGUUCUUCCUUCAUUUUUAUUAUGACGGUGCAUCUAAUUUGGUCCUUCACAUGACUAAUUUGACAAGCUAUAUAAUUUGCUCCUUCACCAGGAGUCAGG